UCCGCAGCUUGACUGCUGCUCCUGCUGUCCCCAGCAGACCCUGCCAGGAGCGGAGAGGACGAGGCAGCGGGGAGAGGAGCGCUGAUCUGCGGGCAGGAGCCGGACUGACCCGGGCUGAGGAGAGCGGGAGCGGCUGGAGCUUCAGGAGACAGCAGGGAGGUUCUGAGGAGGUCUGCAGGCUGGACUCUCUGCUCGGCUCGGUUCUCCACGGACAGUCCAGGAGGACCGAGCGGUCCGGCAGCCCGGGGUCCGGGGCCUGGCGGAGGGUCCGGGCAGCGAGCACGGUGCGCGGAGCGCUGGAUGUUGGAGGAGGACCCGGAGGACAGCAGGAGAGGAGCUGGAGGAGCUGCAGGGAGCGCAGCCUCCACCUGAAGCGGAGAACAUGAGGGUGCUGCCGGUGCUGGUUCCGGUGCUGGUUCUGGUGCUGCUGCGGGGCGCUCCGUGUGCAGGCUCGAGCCGCGGGGGGGCGGUCACCAGAGAGUGUCAGUACUACAACGUGAACUACGAGAUGGAGAAGACCAACCAGAGCGGAGUGGAGCGGUGCGAGGGCGAGGCCGACAAACGCUCGCACUGCUACGCCUCCUGGAGGAACAGCUCCGGGUCCAUCGAGCUGGUGAAGAAAGGAUGCUGGCUGGACGACUUCAACUGCUACGACCGGCAGGACUGUGUGGCGACGGAGGAAAGUCCCGAGAUCUUCUUCUGCUGCUGUGAAGGAAACUUCUGCAAUGAGAGGUUCACCCACCUGCCAGGUGUCGGUGGUCCAGCGGUGGCGGCGCCGCCCGGCGGCGUGGACGCCUUGAACGUGGUCAUCUACUGCCUCUCUCCGGCCACCAUGCUGUCCGUGGUUCUGCUCAUCGCCGUCUGGAUGUACCGGCACCGCAAGCCUCCCUACGGACACGUGGACAUCAGCGAGGACCCGGGUCCGGCGCCCGGCUCCCCCCCGCUGAGCCUGAAGCCGCUGCAGCUGCUGGAGGUGAAGGCCAUGGGGCGCUUCGGCUGCGUGUGGAAGGGCCAGGUCCUCAACGAGUACGUGGCCGUGAAGGUCUUCCCCAUCCAGAACAAGGAGUCCUGGCAGAACGAGAGGGACGUGUUCCUGACGCCGGGGAUGCGGCACGAGAACAUCCUGAGGUUCAUCGCUGCGGAGCGGCGGGGCGGUUCCUCCGAGGCCGAGCUGUGGCUCAUCAGCGAGUUCCACGAGAGGGGUUCUCUGUCGGACUUCCUGAAGGGGAACGUGGUGAGCUGGGCCGAGCUGUGCCACAUCGCCGAGUCCAUGGCCCGCGGCCUGGCGUACCUUCACGAGGACAUCCCCCACCUGAGAGGAGACAAACACAAGCCCGCCAUCGCCCACAGGGACUUUAAGAGUAAGAACAUCAUCCUGCGCUCCGACCUCACCGCCGUCAUCGCCGACUUCGGCCUGGCCGUGUGCUUCCAGCCGGGGGAGCCGCCCGGAGAGACCCACGGACAGGUGGGCACCAGGCGCUACAUGGCUCCGGAGGUGCUGGAGGGCGCCAUCAACUUCCAGAGAGACGCCUUCCUGCGGAUCGACAUGUACGCCGUGGGGCUGGUGCUGUGGGAGGUGGUGAGCCGCUGCCGGGCCGCCGACGGCCCGCUGGAUCAGUACCUGCUGCCGUUUGAGGAGGAGGUGGGCCAGCAUCCGUCCCUGGAGGACCUGCAGGAGGUCGUGGUCCACAAGAAGAUGAGGCCGGCCAUCAAAGAGCUCUGGCUCAAGCACAGCGGUCUGGCUCAGAUCUGUGAGACCGUGGAGGAGUGCUGGGACCACGACGCCGAGGCGCGCCUGUCGGCCGGCUGCGUGGAGGAGAGGAUCUCCCAGAUCCGCCGCCACGGCGCCAACGAUGCUCCUCCUACCUCUGACGCCAUCACAGCCAUCACCGUGGUAACCAACGUGGAGCUGCUGCCGAAGGAGUCCAGCAUCUGAGGAGCACGCCUCCUGCAGGCCUCCUGGACCUGUUCCUCUCAGCACUCCACCCACCUUCAGCUCCGACUCGGUGAAUGCUCCUGGACCUCCUGGAACUCCAAGUCCUCCUGGUACCUCAGUUCUUCUGCUCCAGGUUCCAGAGGGGAUCUCACGACCUGCGAAUGUCGUCUCUGAAAUGCUGCAGAACCUUCGUAGGAACGUGAAGAACCUUAAAGCUUACGUUCUCAGAUGUUUUUAACGGAUUUUGUUUUUAUUGGGUCACAUGACCUCAUCCUGACCUCAGAAAACCUUCGGAUCAGACGGGUUGAAUCCUGGAAGACAGAAACAGGAAGUGAUGUCAGAAGGAAAACCAACCAGCUGCUCUGCGUUAAGGCUGACAUUCUGAUUGGAUGAUGGAGCUCAGCCAAUCAGAAACACAACUCCUCAGGUAGCCUGGACCACAGGUGUCAGCAGGGGGCGUGGCUGGUAAACCUCUAGUGGGCGGGGCUUAGAAAGGUGCUGCAACCAGAACCCUUUUCCUUUAAAACGGUGCAAACUGUGCGUCAGUCACAUGACGUUUUAUCCUGACCUGCUGAUUGGCUCAUUCCUCUGCCUUCCUUUUUACCUGGGGGUCCCUCCUACAGCGCCACCUGGUGGCUGGCCUCUUCAAGCAGCUUGAUGGAAAUCAGGAAAAGACGGACGGACACCUGACCUGCAGAACGGUCCUGGUUCUGCUGCCUGGGACCGGGCUGCUGCUGGACUUUGUCUCUUCCUCCUCAUCCAGGACCAGCGGCGCCACCUGCUGUUGGCCGGGUUCCUCUGGUGGAGGAACCCUGGAUGGAAGCAACACCACCACCUCAAUGCAGCAGAGACGUCUCAGGAGACCUCCUCCAUCUUCACCCUGCUGCUUAUUACAUGUCUCACACAGCUUCUACUGAACGAUGCUUCCUGGUCCCUGUCGCUCCUCUGAGGAGCCAGAACCCAUCCUGAAGGUCCAGCUGGAGGAGGUCUGAGCCAUCUCCACCAGAACCAGACCUCCUCCCACAUGUCUCAGAACCAAACUGGUUUCCAUGGCUGUGAAACACCAUCUUUGUCUUUCCAGAUGUUGGAGGAAGUUCAGGCUGACAGGAAGGAGCAGCGUUUAACAAAAUAAAAGCCUUUUCCAUGCUGCUGUGGAGCUAGAAGCUUCCAGACGGUGAUUAGAUGACAGAUUUCUGGAAGAUCUAGAUGUUCGUAGAGAAGAUCUCCAGAAGAGGAGCUCUUAUCAGAACCAGAUGUUUGUUCUGGAGCAGCCGCUGGUUCUGAAUAAACCCAAACCCGUUUCUACCCUCAGUGCCGGCACCGGUUCUGUAGUUUUAGUUCAGAUGAAUGUUUUCUAUAAUAAAUAAUCUCAUGAUUUUAAA